rnacentral:rRNA from 1 species
CCCUUAGAUGUUCUGGGCCGCACGCGCGCUACACUGACGGAGCCAACGAGUACUUUCCUUGUCCGGAAGGACUGGGUAAUCUUGUGAAACUUCGUCGUGCUGGGGAUAGAGCAUUGCAAUUAUUGCUCUUCAACGAGGAAUUCCUAGUAAGCAUGUGUCAUCAGCCCGUGCUGAUUACGUCCCUGCCCUUUGUACACACCGCCCGUCGCUACUACCGAUUGAACGGUUUAGUGAGGGCCUCGGAUUGGUCUCGGCCCGCUCUUUACCGGGCGGCGCCGUUGGUCGAGAAGACGCUCGAACUUGAUCGUUUAGAGGAAGUAAAAGUCGUAACA